GCGGGAAUUCGAUUAGAGUUUGAUCCUGGCUCAGAUUGAACGCUGGCGGCAGGCUUAACACAUGCAAGUCGAGCGGUAGCACAGGGGAGCUUGCUCCCUGGGUGACGAGCGGCGGACGGGUGAGUAAUGUCUGGGAAACUGCCUGAUGGAGGGGGAUAACUACUGGAAACGGUAGCUAAUACCGCAUAACGUCGCAAGACCAAAGAGGGGGACCUUCGGGCCUCUUGCCAUCAGAUGUGCCCAGAUGGGAUUAGCUAGUAGGUGGGGUAAUGGCUCACCUAGGCAACGAUCCCUAGCUGGUCUGAGAGGAUGACCAGCCACACUGGAACUGAGACACGGUCCAGACUCCUACAGGAGGCAGCAGUGGGGAAUAUUGCACAAUGGGCACAAGCCUGAUGCAGCCAUGCCGCGUGUGUGAAGAAGGCCUUCGGGUUGUAAAGCACUUUCAGCGAGGUGGAAGGUGGUGAACUUAAUACGUUCAUCAAUUGACGUUACUCGCAGAAGAAGCACCGGCUAACUCCGCGCCAGCAGCCGCGGUAAUACGGAGGGUGCAAGCGUUAAUCGGAAUUACUGGGCGUAAAGCGCACGCAGGCGGUUUGUUAAGUCAGAUGUGAAAUCCCCGGGCUCAACCUGGGAACUGCAUUUGAAACUGGCAAGCUAGAGUCUCGUAGAGGGGGGUAGAAUUCCAGGUGUAGCGGUGAAAUGCGUAGAGAUCUGGAGGAAUACCGGUGGCGAAGGCGGCCCCCUGGACGAAGACUGACGCUCAGGUGCGAAAGCGUGGGGAGCAAACCAGAUUAGAUACCCUGGUAGUCCACGCUGUAA
rnacentral:rRNA from 1 species